UACCAACUGGUGUAUGUGACACAUAACAAAGACAUUAAUUAUUACGAAGCAGUUAUAACGGAAUAGUUAUUCAGGGUGGCCUUUCAGAUUGUAUGAGUACGAAGGAUGCGACUUAACAUGACAAGAAUCGUCCACCUUAAGGAGCCCGGACAACUUGGAUGCAGAAUGAGUGGCAUUGUUCAGCAUUUCCUGGCCGAAACACGUCAUUGUCAUGUUCACGGUCACGCUGUGCCAGCCCAGAUGCUCUGAAUGAGGGAUGUCAGCCUGAUAGCUGCCUUUCAAUGGGGGCUGCAUCAUCGAGAUGGUGCGAAGAUCCAUUCUUUCGCCCGUGUGGCCCUGCUCGCCGCAGGGCCGUUGCUAAUCCCCGGGGAGUUUUUGCAUUGUGCUGCAGGAGUCAGCGGGUCAAGUUCUUUGAAAGGAGGGUUUAGUCAAACAUCUAUUGGCGAGCCCUGAGGUGGUGUAUAUGGAGAUGUUCACUCAGCUGCUGGUUCACAGAUCACUUCACAGCAUUGGCAGUUCAGCUUGGAAACAGAGAAAAUGCUUCCAGAGACGUAGCCUUUUAUUUAGCCUUGUGUUGAUUUUUAUCUGUUUUAAUGCUUCAGUGCUUAACCAAAACAAAUGUGUGGCGUUUUUAUUUAUAAAAUUAUUUGCACAUUAACCAGUGUUUGUUUCUUUAUAAGGCAUCUUAGCUUGGUUAAUUUUCAUAAACUGCAUUCAGCUUGUUAAAAAAUGUUACCCUGUGCUGGACUGGUGCCCUGUCCAGGGUGAGCCCUGCCCUGAGGAGCCCAUUUGUGUCACUGCUCGCCAAAAGCAGCUGCCUGUG